UCGAGGAUCUUCCGCAAUGGGCGAAAGCCUGACGGAGCGACACCGCGUGCAGGAUGAAGGCCUUCGGGUUGUAAACUGCUGUCACGCUAUAGGAAUGUCUGGGCGUUAAUAGCGGCCAGGUUGACUAAAGCGAGAGGAAGCACCGGCUAACUCCGUGCCAGCAGCCGCGGUAAGGCGGAGGGUGCAAACGUUGUUCGGAUUCACUGGGCAUAAAGCGCACGUAGGCGGCUCGUUUAGUCAGACGUGAAAUCCCCCGGCUCAACCGGGGAAUGGCAUCUGAUACUGGCGGGCUCGAGGUCGAUAGGGGUGAGCGGAACUCCAGGUGGAGCGGUGAAAUGCGUAGAUAUCUGGAGGAACACCGGUGGCGAAAGCGGCUCACUAGGCCGACACUGACGCUAAGGUGCGAAAGCUAGGGUAGCAAACGGGAUUAGAUACCCUCGUAGUCCCUGAGCGGGCUGGCAAGGCGCAU
rnacentral:rRNA from 1 species